rnacentral:rRNA from 1 species
UAGGCUGCAACUCGCCUACAUGAAGUCGGAAUCGCUAGUAAUCGCGGAUCAGCAUGCCGCGGUGAAUACGUUCCCGGGCCUUGUACACACCGCCCGUCACACCAUGAGAGUUUGUAACACCCAAAGCCGGUGGGGUAACCUUUUGGAGCCAGCCGUCUAAGGUGGGACAGAUGAUUAGGGUGAAGUCGUAACAAGGUACC